CAAUCAAGUAGUCCGAAACAAGACAAAACUUACUGUUACCCCCCCACGGUCACUGAGUAGGGUUUAAUAGUCCAACUUCCACAUUAGCUCUUCCCUCUCGCAGAAGCCGAAACAGCUCUGCUUUGCUUUUUUCAACACCCAUUUCAAUAAAAUCCCGAAUUUCCCAUAACUUUAUACCCUUUUUAUUAGUUCUUUUCAAUUUUGAUCCCAAAUUUCAAAUCUUUUCAUCCAGUUUCUCAGGUGAUAGAAAAUUUGAUUACAGAAGUUCAAAGUGGCGGGCGGGUUUUCGGAUCCUGAGGCCGGAUCCUUUUCUGGGUUUCAAAGAAGGAUCGAGUUUCACCCGGCUAGAAAAGUCUUUAAUGGGCUUAGUAAUAGUGGCGAAAAUGGGGAUUUUAACUUGGAGACGCUGAAUCCAAGUGUGUCGGAGCAAAAGAAAGAUGGGACGGGUCAAGGACAUGGUCCUAGUGGUGAUGGUUCGGAGUUUUGGGAUUGUGGGUUGGAUCCUGAGCUGAGUUUUAGGAUGACUUUUCGGAGAAUUGGUGCUGGUCUUGAAAAUCUUGGAAAUACUUGUUUUCUCAAUUCAGUGUUGCAGGGUCUGACAUAUACAGAGCCUUUAGCGGCAUACUUGCAGAGUGGCAAGCAUCAAAAUUCUUGGGGGUGGCUUUCUCUUCUGCUCAGUUCUUUCCUGCUUUUUACUCCCAUGAACACAAUAAAAACUAUAUGGGCAUGCAUAUUUCUACAUCAAUUCUGUGUCUAGGCCUAAAAAGAAGAUAACGGAAGACAGCCCGAGGGAGAUUGCAGCCGAAGAAAAUAGGGGCAGAGAGCUUGAGGGCAGUUUGGGAAACUCAUCCUAGUCACUCAGAGUUGUAUGAGGCAGUAAAAUAAUGCUACAAGGGAAUCGUUCAAUCAAGGAAUAAAUUCAGCAUAAUGGGAAGGAAGCAGGGAGAAUAUUCUUGAAUCUAUCGGUAUAGAUUUAAUAAACUAUAGAAUUUUGUAUAUGUUUCUAAACUGCAUUUAUAUGGUUCAACAAAUUUAUUAUAUAACUUGACUUUAAAACCUUAUAU